UCAAUUCUACCCCAGAUGUAAAAAACUGGGUAUUACACAUAUGUGUUUUGCAGAUGACCUGUUGUUGUUUGCUAAGGGAGACCUCAACUCUGUUAAGGCAUUAUCCAACUGUUUUUCUCAAUUCUCAGCAGCCUCAGGUCUUAAGGCCAAUUUGAACAAAAGCUCAGUCUACUUUGGAGGAGUACCAAUACUUGUGCAGCAGCAGAUCCUUGACCAUCUUGGCUAUGAACAAGGCCAACUGCCUUUCAAGUGCCUGGGAGUACCACUGAGUACCAAGAAAAUGAGCUUCAUUUGGUCUGGGAUGAAUACUGUCACUAAAAAAGCAUACAUUUCCUGGGACAAAAUGUGCACCCCAAAGUCAGUAGAGGGAAUAAACCUAACCAACCUCAAACUGUGGAACAAGGCUGCCAUUGCAAAGACCUGCUGGGACAUAGCACAGUUGGUGGAAUGAACCUAACCAACCUCAAACUAUGGAACAAGGCUGCCAUUGCAAAGACAUGCUGGGACAUAGCACAUAAGAAGGAUAAGAUGUGGAUCAGGUGGAUCACAGUGUAUUACAUCAAAGACAGGACAUUAGAA
rnacentral:lncRNA from 1 species